UAGCCAUGUUCCUGCCUUGAUAAUGAACCUCACAUCUAUGUCUCAUGUAUUGUACACAUAGCUUCACUGUUCAGAAAAGACCAGGCGGCUCCCGGCGGCAUGGGCAUGGAGGUCUCCGGUUUCUGGAACUUCUUAGCCUCUGUGAUCACAGAACCUACACUCCUGUCUUAGCCA